rnacentral:lncRNA from 1 species
CUCGGGCGAGCUCUCCAGCCGCGGCCCCCGCCCCUGCGCUGUCGGGCGGGGAGGUCGGAAACCCCCUGGCGAGACCACGGGCGGACGCUUCCCGAAGAGCUGCCUGGGCCGCAGCCGCGGAAGCUGCGUUCUGGGGAGCGGGGAGCGUGCUCUGGCGCCCUCGGGCCGCUGCUGGAAGCCAGAACCGAGCCCGGGCCGCUGCCCCUCACCGGACGCCGCGCGCCACCGGCCCUCCGCGGGGCAGGGGCUGCUGCGAGCUCGCCGGGCGCCCUUUAGACAGUCGUCCUUGUCUACUCCACUACCAAAUGUUGAAGUUCUUCAAGAAUCAGUCCUUUGGAGGUG